GUGUUGAAACACCGGUUCUCAUACGAUCACCGAAGUUAAGCAACGUCGAACCUGGUCAGUACCUUGAGGCGUGACCACUUUGGAGUACCAAGUGUUGUAA